rnacentral:rRNA from 1 species
UACAGAGGGGGCAAGCGUUGUUCGGAAUUACUGGGCGUAAAGGGCGCGUAGGCGGCCUUCUAAGUCGAACGUGAAAUCCCCGGGCUCAACCCGGGAACUGCGUCCGAUACUGGAAGGCUUGAAUCCGGGAGAGGGAUGCGGAAUUCCAGGUGUAGCGGUGAAAUGCGUAGAUAUUCGCAAGAACACCAGUGGCGAAGGCGGCUCACUGGUCCGGUUCUGACGCUGAGGCGCGAAAGCGUGGGGAGCAAACAGG